GGGACACGUGGUAUCCUGUCUGAAUAUGGGGGGACCAUCCUCCAAGGCUAAAUACUCCUGACUGACCGAUAGUGAACCAGUACCGUGAGGGAAAGGCGAAAAGAACCCCGGCGAGGGGAGUGAAAAAGAACCUGAAACCGUGUACGUACAAGCAGUGGGAGCACGCUUAGGCGUGUGACUGCGUACCUUUUGUAUAAUGGGUCAGCGACUUAUAUUCUGUAGCAAGGUUAACCGAAUAGGGGAGCCGAAGGGAAACCGAGUCUUAACUGGGCGUUAAGUUGCAGGGUAUAGACCCGAAACCCGGUGAUCUAGCCAUGGGCAGGUUGAAGGUUGGGUAACACUAACUGGAGGACCGAACCGACUAAUGUUGAAAAAUUAGCGGAUGACUUGUGGCUGGGGGUGAAAGGCCAAUCAAACCGGGAGAUAGCUGGUUCUCCCCGAAAGCUAUUUAGGUAGCGCCUCGUGAAUUCAUCUCCGGGGGUAGAGCACUGUUUCGGCAAGGGGGUCAUCCCGACUUACCAACCCGAUGCAAACUGCGAAUACCGGAGAAUGUUAUCACGGGAGACACACGGCGGGUGCUAACGUCCGUCGUGAAGAGGGAAACAAC
rnacentral:rRNA from 1 species